rnacentral:rRNA from 1 species
UACGUAGGGUGCGAGCGUUAAUCGGAUUUACUGGGCGUAAAGCGUGCGCAGGCGGUUCGGAAAGAAAGAUGUGAAAUCCCUGGGCUCAACCUAGGAAUUGCGCUUGUGACUGGCGGGCUCGAGUACGGUAGAGGGGGGUGGAAUUCCUGGUGUAGCAGUGAAAUGCGUAGAGAUCAGGAGGAACACCGAUGGCGAAGGCAGCCCCCUGGGCCUGUACUGACGCUCAUGCACGAAAGCGUGGGGAGCAAACAGG